rnacentral:rRNA from 1 species
AUUGAACGCUGGCGGCAUGCUUUACACAUGCAAGUCGAACGGUAACAGGCCUCGAGGUGCUGACGAGUGGCGAACGGGUGAGUAAUGCAUCGGAACGUGCCCAGUCGUGGGGGAUAACGCAGCGAAAGCUGCGCUAAUACCGCAUACGAUCUAUGGAUGAAAGCGGGGGACCAUAAGGCCUCGCGCGAUUGGAGCGGCCGAUGUCAGAUUAGGUAGUUGGUGGGGUAAAGGCUCACCAAGCCGACGAUCUGUAGCUGGUCUGAGAGGACGACCAGCCACACUGGGACUGAGACACGGCCCAGACUCCUACGGGAGGCAGCAGUGGGGAAUUUUGGACAAUGGGGGCAACCCUGAUCCAGCAAUGCCGCGUGCAGGAAGAAGGCCUUCGGGUUGUAAACUGCUUUUGUACGGAACGAAACGGCUCUGGUUAACACCUGGGGCUAAUGACGGUACCGUAAGAAUAAGCACCGGCUAACUACGUGCCAGCCGCCGCCGUAAUAC